UGGGGAAUAUUGGACAAUGGGCGCAAGCCUGAUCCAGCAAUGCCGCGUGUGUGAAGAAGGCCUGCGGGUUGUAAAGCACUUUGGGCGGGGAGGAAGGCCCCUGGGACAACACCCCGGGGGAUUGACGUUACCCGCAGAACAAGCACCGGCUAACUCCGUGCCAGCAGCCGCGGUAAUACGGAGGGUGCGAGCGUUAAUCGGAAUUACUGGGCGUAAAGCGCGCGUAGGCGGCCCGGUCAGUCUGGCGUGAAAGCCCCGGGCUCAACCUGGGAACUGCGCUGGAUACUGCCGGGCUGGAGUGUGGGAGAGGGCAGUGGAAUUUCCGGUGUAGCAGUGAAAUGCGUAGAGAUCGGAAGGAACACCAGUGGCGAAGGCGGCUGCCUGGACCAACACUGACGCUGAGGUGCGAAAGCGUGGGGAGCAAACAGG
rnacentral:rRNA from 1 species